CCUAAUUCCAGUAUUCCAUCCACUCGAUCUCGAUACAAGUUCCUCGCCGCCACAGUCAAUCGGCGCUCUCCCGCUUCCAUGGUUUCCACGUGAGAGUCCACUCCUCGACCGCGCUUCGAGUUUGCCCUCCUCGCCCUUGAGGACUUUCUCUGUUGUCAUCGUCACUUCUUUAUCAAGGACAUCAAGCAGCCAUAUAAUUGCAGCAUGUGGCAUUUGAGGUUAUAAGUCUAGAAGUUUUAAAUUUGUGAGAUUUAACUAGAAGACUUAAACUGAUUUGCUGGCUUCUUGAAAUGGCCAGACAUCCAAGUCCUGACAUAGAUGAUGAGCUUUUUAAUGAAAUCUACGGGAAGGCAUAUACUGGUCCAGCACAAUCAAAAGCUGAUAUUGCCACACAGAAAGAAGCAAACAAGAGGGUCCUUUCUGGUAGUCAUUCCGAUGAGGAAGAUAAGCCUCGAGAUCCUAAUGCCGUGCCAACUGAUUUUACAAGCAGAGAGGCAAAGGUUUGGGAGGCUAAAGCCAAGGCAACAGAAAGAAAUUGGAAGAAAAGAAAAGAAGAAGAGAUGAUAUGCAAGAUUUGUGGAGAGUCAGGCCAUUUUACUCAGGUAAGUUGUAUGGUUUAUGUAAGGUAUUGCUACAAGGGAACCAACUUGCACAUAAGUUUGUCAAAUUCUUAUAGGGCAUCACUGCCUAUCUUAUUAUACAGAAAAUUGCAAAGAACGCUGCUUAUCAUAGUACCCUGUGAUAAUGUUUUAUCUCUUUCGUAUACAUUAAACACGUAUAUAUUAUAUGCAUCUGUUUUUGUGAUAACUAGAAUAGUUCAAUGGAUGCUUAUGUUGACUGAUAAUAUUUAAUUAUAUUUUUUUUGAAGAGGUAAGCAAAAAAACUGGGAUGGGAGAUGAUUGAGUUGUGCUACCAUGAUCUCUCUCUCCUCUAUAGCACCUUGUGCAGAACCAAAGUUGGUUACAUAUGUGCCCUUAUUUUAAUUAUGAUGGUCUUUUUCCUCAACCUGAACAUGGUCCAUUCAUCUUUUUUCAUAAACAUAAUUCACUGACACUCACUUCUAAAGAGCUGGUAUGGCAUUUUGAAAUUGUGUUCUUUAAAAACAACACAAACUUAAUUUGAUUGUCUGCUCACUUAGUGUCAAUGGUCAUAGGUUUCAUCUCCCCCUUGGAUGCUUUCCCUUUGUAGCUGGCAAGUGAACUACUAAAAAUCAAUUUUUGAGGAGAGCACUGAAUUAGCAAUAGUGGAAGGAGAGUGGAGGAGACUUGGUUUUUGGUUUCCUUUAAGUUUCUUUUCUUUUAACAUUGUUCUUAUAAAUUUUUCUACAUUUUUGCCAACAUAUCUAACUUUAUUAUAGAAGCAUCGCAUUUAGUCGAGGAACCAUUCAAUGUACAAGAGCUGUUGUAUUUAAGGAAGCCAGAUAUCACUUAAUUUUUCAUAUCCUUUUAUGUUGUAAAAGAUCUAAUCCUCUCUACUUCCAUUCUUCCCUUUAGGGAUGCCCAUCUACACUUGGAGCAAGCCGUAAAUCUGCAGAGUUUUUUGAAAGGGUUCCCGCUAGGGACAAGAAUGUGAGAGUCCUUUUCUCUGAGAAGGUGAUACUUCAAAUUGAAAUGGAUGUUGGAUGCAAGAUUAAAAUGGACGAGAAGUUUUUAUUUGUUAGUGGGAAAGACCGAUUAAUUUUAGCAAAAGGUGUAGAAGCUGUUCAUAAAAUAAUUCAGGAUGGCAGGGAUAGACAGAAAAGCCCAAGUAGGUCCCACAGAAAUGAGUCCAGAUCACCUCACGGAAGUCCCAAGUCUACACAUCUAAGACCUUCUGAAUCUCAAAGGUCUCAUUCUAGCCCUAGAAGCACAUCACACUUCCCAAGUAGAAGCUUCUAUCAGGAAAGGCCUGCUGAAGAACAUGUACGUCAAGAUCCACAUAAAAUGUCUAGGAGUUCUCCAAGAGCAAGAGGUAAGUUCAAGCUUUAUGUGUUCGAUUAUGAAGUGAUUUUCUCCGUGCUUCUGGGUCAGACUGAUUUAUUGAGUGAAAAUAGCUUAUCCAAAUGAUGGAGGAAAAGAUCGCCAAGCACGUUCAAAGUCUCCUCUUCGUCCGGAUUUUACAUGGGACACAUAUAGAUCUUAUGAUGGGCGCAAUCAUUUUACUGGUUUGCAUGAAGAUAACUGGGAUCUUGGGAGGCAGAGAACAGAUCCCCUUCCCGAGCACAAGUAUGAGUUCCGUAAUUACCCUCAAUCUUUGGAAGAGCUUGAGAAGGAAUUUAAGGAAGAAGUCAUAGAAUUGUCAAGGAUACAAGCUCAAGAAGAGGAUGAAGAGAACUACAAACAUCGUGAGUGCAUAAGGCAGCUGAGAGAGGAUUUCAUGAAGAAGCUGACGGCUAUGAGGGCUGAGCACUUGAAACACUGGGAAGAAUUUCUUCAAAGGCGGCUACAAACCCAACAGGCUGUGUAUAGCCAACUAUCUUUGGCUGAGUAUGACCAAUCUUCGAGGAAUCUGCAGUAUGUUGGGUCUAGUUUACCCGUGGAUUCUGCGAGCAGAUAUCAGUAUCCUUCUGACAAUUAUUCAGCUCCAAGGCCACAUGAAGGGUAUGGUGAGUUUCAGCACCAAAGACAUGAAGAUUUUGGCAACACAUAUGGCCGUUAUUGAUCAGUAUUGGGUCUGGCGGUGACUUGAAUUUUGAUUUUUGAACCUUCCAGAGUUGCAAGAGAACUAGGCGAUAUUUCAUCUUGGUUUCUUUCUUCCAUGAUGCUUUAAGCCACAAUACUUAAAAGAAUGAUGCAAAAGCAAAUUGGCUACAGUUUGUGAGGUGUGGCUUCAUUGCCUAAUCUCUGACUAGGAAAGGUAUCUUUUGACACCAGUGAAUGGGAAAUGGAUCCUUAAAUAAGAAAUUUUCAGGGAGCAUAUGUGGGACAUAAGGCUGAGAGAUGGUCUUUCCUCUUAAGCAGCUGGCUCUUUAUUAUAGUUAAGUCGAGGUUCGUGUUAAAUGAUUUGAAUGUUUUUGUGAUACUUAACCCAAUGCUUUAUUGUAUAUGUUUUGAUGUCUUUGCUUUGCAUUGGAUGGUUUGUCACAUUGAAAAGUGUUGAAGGUGUAUUUUGUUAGUAGGACCUUGUUUGCACAUGUAAGUUAUCAGACAACAUUAACUGCAUUUCUAGUUAAAUUUGUUUUACAAGCUGAAA